rnacentral:rRNA from 1 species
UACGUAGGGGGGCAAGCGUUGUCCGGAAUCAUUGGGCGUAAAGAGCGUGUAGGCGGUUCGGUAAGUCGGCUGUGAAAGUCCAGGGCUCAACCCUGGGAUGCCGGUCGAUACUGCCGGACUAGAGUUCGGAAGAGGCGAGUGGAAUUCCCGGGUGUAGCGGUGAAAUGCGCAGAUAUCGGGGAGGAACACCAAUGGCGAAGGCAGCUCGCUGGGACGGUACUGGACGCGUGAGGCGCGAAAGCGUGGGGAGCGAACAGGG